CUUGGGCCCACAUGCUGACAACCAUGCCUCCUCCGAAUCCCCCGCCCGGCGCGCCCGCUCGCCUGUCGCCUCCGCCGCCGGAACCAAUCGCGCUCGCGCGCACACCACCGCCGGCAGCGGCCCUACGCACCGUCGCAUCCCUUGCCUGGUGCCGCCGGCGCCACGCGCCACCGGCGUCUUCCACACCUCCGGCUUUCCCCGUCCUCUCCUCCGCCCACGCCCAUUCCGCGGUCGGCGCGGGCCAGGGCGGCGGUCGGAUCCUUGACCCCGCCGCCGUCUUCUCCUCAGGGUGGGCGGAAGCCGGCUGAUCCACGACCACACCGCCGUGGUGGGUCGCCGUCUUCCUCCUCAUGGCGGGCAGGAGCGAGCAGAUCGGCGACCCGGGAGCCGUCUUCUUCCUCAGGAGCUGUUCAGAAGCCUCCUCCCCGAGCGCCGCGCCGAGCAUCCCAUCCUGGCCCCGCUUCUGGAGGGCUGUGGAGUGAGUCGGAGUGAACCACAGGGGACCCAAGAGGUGGGGAUCCAAAGGAGGCGCAUGAAGUACGGUCGUCUUCAACUGCCGUCUGCACGACGUACUGAAGCCUGCCACCGUGGGCUGCGUCUGAGACUGUAAGAGCCUGCAUAUGAAAUCACGGGGGUCAUGAAUGAGCUGCCAUAUGUUGCGCAAACAUUUCUUUAUCCUGGAUACAUGAAGGUUGCGUCAUUUAUCCAGAUAAAGAGUAUUUUUCACCAAGCUGUAAGUGCCUUCUUAACUGCAUAUGCCUUUCUUGAAGUUGAUCUGUUGACUUCUUAAACCAGUAAGUGUAUAUAUUCCUUUGGGACAGUUCUCAGUUAUUUGAAACAUAUCCACUAUUCACUGGGCUAGUGGGAAAAUAAUUUAGCAAUGGAAUAGUUUGCUCAAUUAUUGAAAUUAGUUCUGGUCUAUGAUAAAUUUUUACUAGAUGAUGGCCUCUUUGCCUAUGUUCUAUCAUCAUGUUAUUACAUUGAUUCCCAAAGUAUCAUAUGCUGGGCAUUAUUGAUGUUGUAAACAUCAAGUCUGCUUGGGCCUCUAAUUUGUAUUGAACAAAAGGUUAUGUUGCUAUGUGAAAUUAGGCCUGUGCUAUAUUUGUUAAGAAUAGCUUCAUCACUUAUUUGUGUUAAGUAAAGACAUUUCAACUGCCAUAUACUGCUUGGGUACUAGACAGGCAUGGUUACGUACAUCUCAGUACUUAAAGCAACAGCCUGUAUAGCAGCUCAACAGCCUAUGCAAAUAAGAUAUUACAACAUGCAUUUGUAUCCCAUGAUAAUUUUGAGUCAACUCAGGUUUAAUAUUGUAACUCUACUCCUUGUAGCCUUGUAGGUAACUUGAUUGUCCCAUGCUGGAAAUAAAGUUUCUGCUUCUUUUGCGUAGUUAGUAGGAGUAUGAUGUAGAGCAGUAAUGGCCAUUUGGAUUUGGUUGACAUGUGAAUUUCAUUUGUGUUAUUAAAUUUAAUGCAUUAAAUUGCACACAAAUAGAUUAAGAUCUGACUGUCUGGUUGUCUUUUUGGUCGGUGUCAAAUGUCUGGAAUAACGCAAGGUAUCCUGCCCAGGUGGAAUUCCUGAUGGCCGUACUGACAGGAUCUGAUUUUGACCGGUCAACAUGAACCGACAGGAAUUUCUUCCUGUAGACUGACCAUUAGGAGAAGUUGAUUUCACCUCUCUAGCUGGUCCUAUCUGCCAUCCCUGAUGGCCAGUUGUUAGGAGUGUAACUUAGGCAAAAAGGUGCCCUGGUAUUUUGCUGCCAUUACCUUCUAUCAUGUCCAGUGUAUGAUUUACAAUAUUUGAUAUUGCUGCUUUAGUUUGUUGCUUGAUGUUUUGGAUCCCCCAUUGUUCAUAGAAAUAUCCAUUUUCUGAUAGAGUGGGGCAUGCUCUAAAACUACUUUGCUAAUGGAAUUGGACUCAACCAUUUGUGCUACCUUAGCCCUUAGGGUGAAAACUUGCUGAUUGAAAUUGAGAUAUUGUGUUGUUCAGCUGAAACCAGUUUCUGUAUUUUUACAAUAAUAGUUACGUUUAGUCCUUGCGCCCAAGAAUGGAAAAAUAACUUCAAUUUUUUCUUCCUGUCAUUUAUUGUGCUAUACUUUACCUUACUGCUGAUUUGUUCCUCAGAUAUUAAAAUUCUUUACCUCAUUGCUAUAGAUAGUUUGUCCAUGAAUGAAUAAACAGCUCGGUGAACAUCAGUAUUUAUCCUGGAUACAUUCUCAUGAUUACCAAUGUUGUCAUUCAUUUGUUCUUGGUCACUGUCAAGGUAAAUUUAUGAAUUGAUGUAAAUCAGUGUAUCAUUGAAGCCUCACAGUUCUGUUCUAUGCACAGGCAAGACUGGUAGUAUUGGGGAAGAAAGCAAAAAAACACAACUUAUAUAUCUGGAAAUGAAGCUGGGAGGAUAUCAAGAGAGGUUUCUAAAGUGGAAAAGUGAAGAACUGUGAAGAGCACACUUUGUAACAAGAGAAGUUCGCGUAGCCAUUGCAUGGUUGUUUGCACUCAGCCACCAGCACUUUGAGCAUUUUUUUUAAACCAAGCUUUUUUCGAGCUAUGCUUGCAUCUAUAGAUUAUCCUGGAUGUCCCAUCUGUGGGAAGAAAGUUAAUGCUUGUGGACAUGGCUGGAUCUAAAAACAUAGAAGCAGCAGGACAAACAGGAUUUGAAGCCAAAAUGCAGGCGUGUUAUGCAACCGAUUCUUGUAUGUUUGUAGCAUCUAUGUGUUCCAAACUUCCAAUUGCACUCUGAACAAUGGCUUUCAAGUUUCAAUGAGUCGCUCUGUGUUAUAUGUUUGUAGCAUCUAUGUGUUCCAAACUUCCAAUUGCCUCUGAACAAUGGCUUCCAAUGAGUUGAUCUGUGUAUUUAAUAGAUAGUCAGUUUGGCACUGAUCUUGCCACAUGAAUUGUACCACUGUUAAAAUCUUAUAAUAUUUUAUUACAUGUGCGAUCUAUAAUGUUCUCAAUUUUUCCAGACAACAAAAAUUAACCAAGGGAACACUGCUUUGAAGCGAAUUGUUUAAUCUAUUGCUAAUGGUGAUUCCCAUGUUCCAUUUAGGAACAACAAGCUCACAAUGCUACUACAGGUUCAUUUGAGGAUGACAAAUCCAAAAUCCUGAUGAUUUAUUUUGGAAUUGGACACAUUGAAGUCUUUGAGAAAUUGUAAUUAGGCCUUUCUUUUGUUUCAUUUUGGAUUCGGCAGCAACACUUGUUGAUGUAGUUGAUGUAUAUGUGUCCAUUGUGAUGAUCAAAUGGUUUUGGGGAAAAAGGAAAACCAGCUUCUGGGAAUGAAGCAGCAGGGCCCCAAAUGCUAUGCUGCAUAUAGAUCUUGAGCUGAUCUCUUGGAAGACUAUGACGCUUAUCUUUGUAGAUAAAAUGCUACUUUGGAGUUAAUGUGGUCUGUAGCGUUAGCAUGGGCAAUAUACUAGUUUUGUUAGGUAAAGACAUUUGAACUGCCAUAUACUGCUAGGGUACUAGACAGGCAUGACUACAGCUCAGUAUUUAAUACAAGCAACAGCCUGCAUAGCAGCUCAACAGCCAAUGGAAAUUAGAUACUACAACAUGC